CUCUUUUUUGCAAUAGCCAUUCUAACAAGAGUGAGGUGAUAUGUCAUUGUUUUGAAUUGCAUUUCUCUGGUGAUUAGUGCAGUUCAGCACCUUUUCAGAUUCCUGUUGGCCAUUUGUGGAGUCUCACUCUGUAGCCCAAGCUGGAGUGGCGUGAUCUCGACUCACUGCAACCUCCGCCUCCUGGGAUCAAGUGAUUCUCGUGCCUCAGCCUCCUGAGUAGCCGGGACUACAGUUGUCCCUUGGUGUGGGAUUGCUUCCAGUACCUCUGUGUGUAACAAAAGCUGCACCAUUCAAGUCCCACAGUUGCCCUGCGAAACCUCUGUAUAUGAAAAGUUGGCCCUCCAUGUACAUGGGUUUCCCAUCCUGUCACAGAAUUUUCCACACUCCUUGACAGAGGUGCUUAACCCUUAUCCAUCAGCAUUCUCAGACAGCACCUCCGGUUAGGGACAGUAUCUGACCGUCCGACAUCCCUGCAGCCCCCAUGUGUCACACAGACUCAGCCUCAGGUAGAUGGUUUCCGUAGAUGGUGGCUUUCUUUGGACCCUUGACAUCAACCAGUUACUAUUUGGUCUAGGGGUCUCACCAACGCUGCUCAUCUAGCAGGGCCACACAUAACAAAUAGAAGCAGAGCAAGCCCUGGAACUCCUGCCUGACAGUGACACGACGACAGAAACAUCUUACCAGUCAGAGGACCAUGAGAAAUAGAUUCAAGGAGCAUUCCACGUGCAAGUGAGUCUUGGCCCCAUCUGCCUUUGGAUUUUAGCCGUGAACUGGAAGGUAUUGGAAAGAAGACCCUCAGAAAUAGCUUAAUCAAAAUCCCUGCGUCUGAACCAAGUGCCUUAUUUCUCUGUGGGCCUCAAGCUUCGCUGACAUCUGUGGAGCACACUGUCCUAACAGGAGUGCUGUCUGAUUUCCCAACGCUCUGCAAAACAAACAGCCUGGAAGGGUGGCUGGUGGAAGGUGGUUUUUAGAGAGAGACUUGUAGAUAACAGGAAAGUGAAGGCUGUAAGGAAGGUUGUAAUUAAACAGCACAUGGAAACACAAUCACAUUAUUGUCCCAUUCCAUAGGGAUAAUGAUGACCACUUCAGUGGGAAAAGGAGAGGUUUUAAGUCAUUAGGGACUAUGGGCCACCUUUUAGGAAGAUUUAUUUUCAAAGGUUAAAAUAGUGUUUUGGCAAUUCAAGUUUCAUUUUCAGAAAAUGUAAUUGAUGGGAACCUCAGUGACUCUGGAUGAAUAAGAUGCUGUUGAGUGGCUCUGACUUGGGCCAGCCGUGCUUCUCACAGGACCUUGGAGACCAAGGUCACUGUGAUCUCAGGUUCAGGGGGCAAGUCCUCUCCACACAGCCCUAGUUGGCCUCACAGCUGAAAAUGUCUCCCUUACUGUUGGACUCCUUUGUUCACCCACAUGAGUUUGUGAAUAAAUCCUUUCCAGUCUGAAA
rnacentral:lncRNA from 1 species